UCGAUGCAUCUAAAGAGGGUUUGGAUGAUGAUGGGGCAUCUGAAGAGAAUGUUGAUGAUGAUGAUGAUGAUGGGCCAUCUCAAGAGGGCUCAGAUGAUGAUGGUGCAUCGGAAGGGGGCUCUGGUGAUGAUGAUGCUUCAUCUCAUCGGAAGAGGGCUCUGGUGAUGAUGAUGCUUCAUCUCUUGUUUCUGAAGAUGGAAGUAGUGAGAAAGGUUCUUUGAAGGACGGAGCUCUUACAGUAGGAAACUGUGGUGUGAAGCGUAACAAUGUGGCAUCUGAGACUGAGGUUUCCAAUGUGGAUUAUGAUGAUGCG
rnacentral:lncRNA from 1 species